UACGGGGGGGGUAAGCGUUGUUCGGAAUUACUGGGCGUAAAGGGCUCGUAGGCGGCCAACUAAGUCAGACGUGAAAUCCCUCAGCUUAACUGGGGAACUGCGUCUGAUACUGGAUGGCUUGGAUUCGGGAGAGGAAUGCGGAAUUCCAGGUGUAGCGGUGAAAUGCGUAGAUAUCGGGAAGAACACCCGUGGCGAAGGUGGUUCUCUGGAACGCAACUGACGCUGAGACGCGAAAGCGUGGGGAGCAAACAGG
rnacentral:rRNA from 1 species